ensembl:lncRNA
AGUGAAUGCUUAGAGAGCAGUCUUUUACUGUAACAUGCACACUUUGAACACUAAUUUUCAUCUAUUUUUGCAUGCAUGUUAAAACUUGGAGCCAACACAGACUACCCGAUAGACUACCAGACAACUUCACCAAACCAAGUAAGUGCAAUAACCAAGUAAGUGCAAUAACCGACUCUCCAUGCAUUGUCAAUGGGGGAAAUCUAUUUUGGGCAAAAUGACGUCGGACUCAGUGCAGACUGACUCAGGGGGCUCUAAAACACUCUCCAAAAAUGUUUUGAAGCCUCUACCUGUCUCCCUUCUAUUUUUAAUAACCUAAACAUACGUCAAUUAAUUUGGAUCGGUUUUAAGUUAUUUUCUCGGCCUAGGAAGGGCCUAGAAACAUAAUUCUUGCAGAUUCAGGGUCGGACCGAGCCCAGAAAAAAGAAAGUAUGAAAAAAAAAAAAAAAAAAAAUGAAAAUUUCAAAUUUCUUAAAAAAAAAAAAAAAAAAAGACUCGAAAUGGCCUAAAACGUGCUCCUAGACACUUUCUGUGGGAACUUAUUUUUUCACUAACAAAUUUUGUUGACUCCACACUUAAAAAAAAAAAAAAAAAAUGAAAAUGGGAUUUUCUAUACCAAAACAAGCCACCAGGUGGCCAAAAUUUUGCACAAAGGUCGGCCUCAUAAAAUCCUACCACCCAACCCCAACCACGAUCCCAUGAUCCACCCCCUUCCCCCGUGAGGUCGAUUUUAAAAGUCGUCCAAUGUUAAAACUUGGGGCUCCAAAUUGCACCAAAUUUCUAGGGGAUAGAGGGGACCAAGGGCUACAACUGGCACUAUUCAGAAUUCCCAUGAUCCAAUAAAAAAAAAAAAACGCUUCACUUUUAAACUUAAAAAUUGAAAUUGCAGUACCCAAAAAAAAACACCAGGGGCGCCACAUUUUUUGAGCAAGUCCGCUGGGCCUAGACCUAUCCGUGGGUGGUAAAAGAAUUCCCAUGAUCCACUCGGUUCUCGAACUAGCCCAAAAAAACCGUUUUUCAAAAGUGGUAGAUGGCUCUUAACCUACCCUAACCCUAGCCCUAAUUGGUUUUAAGCUAUUUUCUCGGCCUAGGAAGGGGCUAGAAACAUAAUUCUUGCAGAUUCAGGGUCGGACCAAGCCCAGCAAAAAAAAGGUAUGAAAAAAAAAAGAAAAAAAAAAAAGAAAAAUUUUGAUCGGUUUUAAGUUAUUUUCUCGGCCUAGGAAGGGGCUAGAAACAUAAUUCUUGCAGAUUCAGGGUCGGACCGAGCCCAGAAAAAAGAAGGUAUGAAAAAAAAGCUAAAAAAAAACGUUUUUCAAAAGUGGUAAAAUGCUCUUAACCUAACCCUACCCUUAAUCUUAAUCUUAAUCCUAACCCUUAACCUAAUCUUAAUCCUAACCUUAACCUUUAGCCUUAUUCCCUAACCUUAACCCGAGUAGCUAUCCCUACCACUUAUCUAAAUCCUUACCUUAACCUUUAGCCUUAUUCCCUAACCUUAACCC